UACAGAGGUCUCAAGCGUUGUUCGGAUUCAUUGGGCGUAAAGGGUGCGCAGGCGGCGCGGUAAGUCGGGUGUGAAAUCUCGGAGCUUAACUCCGAAACUGCAUUCGAUACUGCCGUGCUUGAGGACUGGAGAGGAGACUGGAAUUUACGGUGUAGCGGUGAAAUGCGUAGAUAUCGUAAGGAAGACCAGUGGCGAAGGCGGGUCUCUGGACGGCAACUGACGCUGAGGUGCGAAAGCGUGGGGAGCAAACAGG
rnacentral:rRNA from 1 species